rnacentral:rRNA from 1 species
UUCCGGUUGAUCCUGCCGGACCCGACUGCUAUUUGGGUGAGAAUAAGCCAUGCGAGUUGAAUGGGAUACCUAAAGUUCCCAUAGCAAACUGCUCAGUAACACAUGAUCAACUUACCCUAUAGAGAAAAAUAACCUCGGGAAACUGAGGAUAAUGUUUCAUAAUUGAAUUGGCUUGGAAAAGUUUUUCAAUGAAAAGGAUAAAAAAAAUGGUUUUUAUCUGCUAUAGGAUAGGAUCGUGUUCGAUUAUGGUUGUUGGUGAGAUAAUGGCUCACCAAGCCGAUAAUCGAUAGGGGCCGUGAGAGCGGGAGCCCCGAGAUGGGUACUGAGACAACGACCCAGGCCUUACGAGGCGCAGCAGGCGCGAAACCUCCGCAAUACACGAAAGUGUGACGGGGUUACCCAAAGUGUUCAUUUGAACUGUGGUAGGUGAGUAAUGUCCCCUACUAGAAAGGAGAGGGCAAGGCUGGUGCCAGCCGCCGCGGUAAAACCAGCUCUUCAAGUGGUCGGGAUAAUUAUUGGGCUUAAAGUGUCCGUAGCCGGUUUAGUAAGUUCCUGGUAAAAUCGGGUAGCUUAACUAUCUGCAUGCUAGGAAUACUGCUAUACUAGGGGGCGGGAGAGGUCUGAGGUACUACAGGGGUAGGGGUGAAAUCUUAUGAUCCUUGUAGGACCACCAGUGGCGAAGGCGUCAGACUGGAACGCGCCUGACGGUGAGGGACGAAAGCCAGGGGAGCGAACCGGAUUAGAUACCCGGGUAGUCCGGGGCGUAAACGAUGUGGGCUGGGUGUGGGCUAAUCAGAAGGAUUAGUCUGUGCCGAAGCGAAAGCGAUAAGCCCACCGCCUGGGGAGUACGGUCGCAAGGCUGAAAUCCAGUAGGUCAUUGCCUACUGGACGGUAAACUUAAAGGAAUUGGCGGGGGGGCACCACAAGGGGUGGAGCCUGCGGUCUAAUUGGAUUCAACGCCGGGAAUCUUACCAGGAGCGACAGCAGGAUGAAGGCCAGGCUGAUGACCUUGCUAAACAAGCUGAGAGGAGGUGCAUGGCUGCCGUCAGCUCGUACUGUGAAGCGUCCUGUUAAGUCAGGUAACGAGCGAGACCCACACCCUCAGUUGCCAGCAGGUCCGAGAGGACGCUGGGGACUCUGAGGGGACCGCCAUCGAUAAGAUGGAGGAAGGAGUGGGCGACGGUAGGUCAGUAUGCCCCAAAUCCCCUGGGCUACACGCGUGCUACAAUGGCCGGGACAAUGGGCUGCGACUCCGAAAGGAGAAGCCAAUCCCCUAAACCCGGUCUAAGUCCGGAUUGAGGGCUGUAACUCGCCCUCAUGAAGAUGGAAUCCCCAGUAACCGCGUGUCAUCAUCGCGCGGUGAACAUGUCCCUGCUCCUUGUACACACCGCCCGUC